GACACGACUCUCGGCAAUGGAUAUCUCGGCUCUCGCAUCGAUGAAGAGCGCAGCGAAAUGCGAUACGUGGUGCGAAUUGCAGAAUCCCGCGAACCAUCGAGUCUUUGAACGCAAGUUGCGCCCGAGGCCAACCGGCCGAGGGCACGUCCGCCUGGGCGUCAAGCGUUGCGUCGCU
rnacentral:rRNA from 1 species